GGCAACAUGGCCGAGUGGUCCAAGGCGAUAGACUUGAAUUGUUUGAUAUUCUGAUAUCUAUUAUCUUCGGAUGCGCAGGUUCGAACCCUGCUGUUGUCG
rfam:Colletotrichum salicis strain CBS 607.94 Scaffold_2041.1, whole genome shotgun sequence.